rnacentral:rRNA from 1 species
AGAGACAGCAGUCGCCACGGUAAUACGAAGGGUGCAAGCGUUACUCGGAAUUACUGGGCGUAAAGCGUGCGUAGGUGGUGGUUUAAGUCCGUUGUGAAAGCCCUGGGCUCAACCUGGGAAUUGCAGUGGAUACUGGGUCACUAGAGUGUGGUAGAGGAUAGUGGAAUUUCCGGUGUAGCAGUGAAAUGCGUAGAGAUCGGAAGGAACAUCUGUGGCGAAGGCGACUAUCUGGGCCAACACUGACACUGAGGCACGAAAGCGUGGGGAGCAAACAGGAUUAGAGACCCCCGUAGUCCCUGUCUCUUAUAC